rnacentral:ncRNA from 1 species
CAAUAUAUGACACACUCAUAUAACCGCAGGAAUAGGGCCUGUAAGUUUCUACCGGUUUGCCGUAAACAAAUCGACUAUGGGUGGCAA